CACGAAUGGCGUAACGAUGGCCACACUGUCUCCUCCCGAGACUCAGCGAAGUUGAAGUGUUUGUGAUGAUGCAAUCUACCCGCGGCUAGACGGAAAGACCCCAUGAACCUUUACUGUAGCUUUGCAUUGGACUUUGAACCGAUCUGUGUAGGAUAGGUGGGAGGCUAUGAAACCGGAACGCUAGUUUCGGUGGAGCCGUCCUUGAAAUACCACCCUGGUUUGUUUGAGGUUCUAACCUUGGCCCGUGAUCCGGGUCGGGGACAGUGCAUGGUAGGCAGUUUGACUGGGGCGGUCUCCUCCCAAAGCGUAACGGAGGAGUACGAAGGUACGCUAGGUACGGUCGGAAAUCGUGCUGAUAGUGCAAUGGCAUAAGCGUGCUUAAC
rnacentral:rRNA from 1 species